AGGACGAACGCUGGCGGCGUGCUUAACACAUGCAAGUCGAACGAGGCCCUGCCUUCGGGCAGGUGACCUAGUGGCGAACGGGUGAGUAACACGUGGGCAACCUACCCUCAGCUCUGGGAUAACCCCGGGAAACCGGAGCUAAUACCGGAUACGACCUGGAACGACAUCGUUCCUGGUGGAAAGUUUUUCGGCUGAGGAUGGGCCCGCGGCCUAUCAGCUUGUUGGUGGGGUAAUGGCCUACCAAGGCGACGACGGGUA
rnacentral:rRNA from 1 species